GAUGAACGCUGGCGGCGUGCCUAAUACAUGCAAGUCGAGCGAACGGACGAGAAGCUUGCUUCUCUGAUGUUAGCGGCGGACGGGUGAGUAACACGUGGAUAACCUACCUAUAAGACUGGGAUAACUUCGGGAAACCGGAGCUAAUACCGGAUAAUAUUUUGAACCGCAUGGUUCAAAAGUGAAAGACGGUCUUGCUGUCACUUAUAGAUGGAUCCGCGCUGCAUUAGCUAGUUGGUAAGGUAACGGCUUACCAAGGCAACGAUGCAUAGCCGACCUGAGAGGGUGAUAGGCCACACUGGAACUGAGACACGGUCCAGACUCCUACGGGAGGCAGCAGUAGGGAAUCUUCGGCAAUGGGCGAAAGCCUGACGGAGCAACGCCGCGUGAGUGAUGAAGGUCUUCGGAUCGUAAAACUCUGUUAUUAGGGAAGAACAUAUGUGUAAGUAACUGUGCACAUCUUGACGGUAACUAAUCAGAAAGCAACGGCUAACUACGUG
rnacentral:rRNA from 1 species